rnacentral:rRNA from 1 species
AACGACUCUCGGCAACGGAUAUCUCGGCUCUCGCAUCGAUGAAGAACGUAGCGAAAUGNGAUACUUGGUGUGAAUUGCAGAAUCCCGUGAACCAUCGAGUCUUUGAACGCAAGUUGCGCCCGAAGCCAUUCGGCCGAGGGCACGCCUGCCUGGGCGUCACGC